GCGGGAUGCAUAACACAUGCAAGUCGAGCGUCUUUAAUUAUAUUAAGUGAGCGGCGAACGGGUGAGUAACAUCUGGGAACCUGCCCCGAAGUGAGGGAUAGCCCAUCGAAAGAUGGAUUAAUACCGCAUAUGUCCGUAAGGGUAAAGCAGCAAUGCGCUUCGGGAGGGGCCUGGACCCUAUCAGCUUGUUGGUAAGGUAAUGGCUUACCAAGGCAAUGACGGGUAGCUGGUGUGAGAGCAUGACCAGCCACAAUGGGACUGAGACACGGCCCAUACUCCUACGGGAGGCAGCAGUGAGGAAUUUUCCGCAAUGGACGAAAGUCUGACGGAGCAAUCCCGCGUGAAGGAUGACGGCCUUCGGGUUGUAAACUUCUUUUCUGAAGGAGCAAGUUCUGAGUUCACUUCAGGAAUAAGCAUCGGCUAACUACGUGCCAGCAGCCGCGGUAAUACGUAGGAUGCGAGCGUUACCCGGAAUCACUGGGCGUAAAGCGUUUGUAGGCUUUCUGGAAAGUCUGAUGUCAAAGUUCUGAGCUCAACUCAGUCACGGUGUCGGAAACUAUCAGAAUAGAGAUGCGCAGAGGCUAGUGGAAUGCCGUGUGUAGGGGUUAAAUCCGUAGAUACACGGUAGAACACCAAAAGCGAAGGCAGCUAGCUGGGCGUAUUCUGACGCUGAGAAACGAAAGCGUGGGUAGCGAACGGGAUUAGAUACCCCGGUAGUCCACGCCGUAAACGAUGGAUACUCGGUGUUGGAGGAGUCGAUCCUUUCAGUGCCUAAGGUAACCCAUUAAGUAUCCCGCCUGAAGACUACGAUCGCAAGAUUAAAACUCAAAGGAAUAGACGGGGCCUCACACAAGCGGUGGAGCAUGUGGUUUAAUUCGACAAUAACCGAGGAACCUUACCUGGACUUGACAUCCUCGGAAUCCUAAGGAAACUUGGGAGUGCCGUAAGGAACCGAGUGACAGGUGCUGCAUGGUUGUCGUCAGCUCGUGCCUUGAGGUGUGCUGUUAAGUCAGUGAACGAGCGCAACCCUUGUCCUGAUUUGUAUUUUUAUCAGGAGACUGCCGGCUCCAAGUCGGAGGAAGGUAGGGAUGACGUCAAAUCAGCAUGGCCCUUAUGUUCAGGGCUACACACGUGCUACAAUGGGGUGUACAAAGGGUAGCAAAGUCGCAAGAUGGAGCCAAUCCCAACAAAGCACCUCCCAGUUCGGAUUGAAGGCUGCAAUUCGCACUUCAUGAAGUUGGAAUCGCUAGUAACCGUAAAUCAGCGAUGUUACGGUGAAUAUGUUCCUGAGGCUUGUACUCACCGCCCGUCAAGUGAUGAGAGGCAGGAGUACCCGAAGUUGGCUUAUCUUUCG
rnacentral:rRNA from 1 species